rnacentral:rRNA from 1 species
AUGAAGCUGGAAUCGCUAGUAAUCGCGGAUCAGAAUGCCGCGGUGAAUACGUUCCCGGGUCUUGUACACACCGCCCGUCACACCAUGGGAGUAGGUAAUGCCCGAAGUCGGUGACCUAACCGGAAGGAAGGAGCCGCCGAAGGCAGGACUUAUAACUGGGGUGAAGUCGUAACAAGGUACC